rnacentral:tRNA from 1 species
GUCCUGAUAGUAUAAAAAUUACUCUGGUUUUGUAAGCCAAAAAGGAAGAAACACUCUUCUCAGGACA